UUUGGAAAAAAAAUCGCCCCCCCCCCCCCCUUCAAUGUUCUGGAUCCGCUAGUGCCCAGAAGUAUCCACGAAGUCACGAGUUGAAUAGAGGUAUUGUAAAAAACAGAAUUCUAAAUGCAUAAGUGCUGAGGGAAUGCAACAUUUAUUUCCUCUCAUAAUCGCUACUUAUAACUGAUAGGAUUAACUGUGACGGUAAACUUCUAGAAUAUACUGACAUGAGAAUGAUUCGAUCUACACUUUAAACAAUGCUUUAGAUUGAGCCCAUCGGGGAAGUCAGGUUUGCAAAGAAAGUUUUUGUUUAAUUUUUUAAUUACAUUUUUUUAUUUGUAGCAUUGAGUUAUACUUUUGUAGUUUUUUUGUUGUUAAAACUGCAACGACUAGUAAAAUUGUCUUUUUAUACUUUAUUUAGACACUUGUAAUAAUUAUAAUUUCAUUUUAUCAAAACCUUUUCUAUGCAUUUUUUUUAUUUUUGUAUUUAUUAUAUAAUACCGAAUUCGUGGUAUCAUAAUAUAAUAUGUUAUAUUCUAAUUCAUCUUGUUAAAAUCAAAUUUUAAAUCAAAUCAUUAAAUACAUUUUUUUGCUUUUAGAAUAGUAAAAAAAAAAAAAAAAAAAAAAAAAAAC